rnacentral:rRNA from 1 species
UACGUAGGUGGCAAGCGUUAUCCGGAAUUAUUGGGCGUAAAGCGCGCGUAGGCGGUUUUUUAAGUCUGAUGUGAAGCCCACGGCUCAACCGUGGAGGGUCAUUGGAAACUGGAAAACUUGAGUGCAGAAGAGGAAAGUGGAAUUCCAUGUGUAGCGGUGAAAUGCGCAGAGAUAUGGAGGAACACCAGUGGCGAAGGCGACUUUCUGGUCUGUAACUGACGCNUGAUGUGCGAAAGCGUGGGGAUCAAACAGGAUUAGAUA